rnacentral:misc_RNA from 1 species
UGGGGCGUGUGAGUGGUGUUUGGAUCGUCCCUGCCGGCUGGCUCCGUGCCCGUCCACCGAACGGUCGGCAGGCGAUCCGCGUCGGUCGCGCGAGGUGGGAUGGUUCCCAAGAGGCUGGUUCUUGUGUUGCCUACCCCUUUCAGGGGAAGCGCCCCGCUUGACGGUUGAAGCCUCCAUCCGGCGCCUUCCAAUGGGCGCAGGAGGACAACGGAGCACCCCCCGCGUUCCACCGAGCCGUCGUCGGUCGCGUGGCCCGCGGGGGAGUGCGAUGCUCUCGGACCCAGCGCACGCCGUGGGCGAGGACUCACGUCCCAGUCCCAAGAGAAGCUUCGGUAUGAUGCAUGACGGCCGCCCCCGACCCCCGACCGCCUCGGCGGUGCUGGGGCGAGGGGCGGCGUCGCGGAGGAAUGCUACCUGGUUGAUCCUGCCAGUAGUCAUAUGCUUGUCUCAAAGAUUAAGCCAUGCAUGUGUAAGU